rnacentral:rRNA from 1 species
AAACCGCAUGGUUUUGAUUUGAAAGGCGCUUUCGGGUGUCGCUGAUGGAUGGACCCGCGGUGCAUUAGCUAGUUGGUGAGGUAACGGCUCACCAAGGCCACGAUGCAUAGCCGACCUGAGAGGGUGAUCGGCCACAUUGGGACUGAGACACGGCCCAAACUCCUACGGGAGGCAGCAGUAGGGAAUCUUCGGCAAUGGACGAAAGUCUGACCGAGCAACGCCGCGUGAGUGAAGAAGGUUUUCGGAUCGUAAAACUCUGUUGUUAGAGAAGAACAAGGAUGAGAGUAACUGUUCAUCCCUUGACGGUAUCUAACCAGAAAGCCACGGCUAACUACGUGCCAGCAGCCGCGGUAAUACGUAGGUGGCAAGCGUUGUCCGGAUUUAUUGGGCGUAAAGCGAGCGCAGGCGGUUUCUUAAGUCUGAUGUGAAAGCCCCCGGCUCAACCGGGGAGGGUCAUUGGAAACUGGGAGACUUGAGUGCAGAAGAGGAGAGUGGAAUUCCAUGUGUAGCGGUGAAAUGCGUAGAUAUAUGGAGGAACACCAGUGGCGAAGGCGGCUCUCUGGUCUGUAACUGACGCUGAGGCUCGAAAGCGUGGGGAGCAAACAGGAUUAGAUACCCUGGUAGUCCACGCCGUAAACGAUGAGUGCUAAGUGUUGGAGGGUUUCCGCCCUUCAGUGCUGCAGCUAACGCAUUAAGCACUCCGCCUGGGGAGUACGACCGCAAGGUUGAAACUCAAAGGAAUUGACGGGGGCCCGCACAAGCGGUGGAGCAUGUGGUUUAAUUCGAAGCAACGCGAAGAACCUUACCAGGUCUUGACAUCCUUUGACCACUCUAGAGAUAGAGCUUCCCCUUCGGGGGCAAAGUGACAGGUGGUGCAUGGUUGUCGUCAGCUCGUGUCGUGAGAUGUUGGGUUAAGUCCCGCAACGAGCGCAACCCUUAUUGUUAGUUGCCAUCAUUCAGUUGGGCACUCUAGCAAGACUGCCGGUGACAAACCGGAGGAAGGUGGGGAUGACGUCAAAUCAUCAUGCCCCUUAUGACCUGGGCUACACACGUGCUACAAUGGGAAGUACAACGAGUUGCGAAGUCGCGAGGCUAAGCUAAUCUCUUAAAGCUUCUCUCAGUUCGGAUUGCAGGCUGCAACUCGCCUGCAUGAAGCCGGAAUCGCUAGUAAUCGCGGAUCAGCACGCCGCGGUGAAUACGUUCCCGGGCCUUGUACACACCGCCCGUCACACCACGAGAGUUUGUAACACCCGAAGUCGGUGAGGUAACCUUUU